rnacentral:misc_RNA from 1 species
CCAAUAGCGUAUAUUAAAGUUGUUGCAGUUAAAAAGCUCGUAGUUGAAUUUCGGGAUCAGUACGCUGGUCGUGCCUUCGGUAUGUACUGGUGUUACUGGUUCCUACCUUCUGACGAACCGUCAUGUCAUUAAUUUGGUGUGGCGGGAAAUCAGGACUGUUACUUUGAAAAAAUUAGAGUGUUUAAAGCAGGCUCGCGCUUGAAUACAUUAGCAUUAAAUAAUGAAAUAGGACGUUCGAUCCUAUUUUGUUGGUUUCUAGGAUUGACGUAAUGAUUAAUAGGGAUAGUUGGUGGCAUUAGUAUUCAAUUGUCAGAGGUGAAAUUCUUGGAUUUAUUGAAGACUAACUACUGCGAAAGCAUUUGCCAAGGAUGUUUUCAUUAAUCAAGAACGAAAGUUAGGGGAUCGAAGACGAUCAGAUACCGUCGUAGUCUUAACCAUAAACUAUGCCGACUAGGGAUCGGAUGAUGUUAUUUUUAAUGACUCAUUCGGCGCCUUACG